ensembl:ncRNA lncRNA:CR45453 long non-coding RNA:CR45453
AAGUGUUGCCAGAAAUAACUGCAUUAGUUUGUCGCUAAUAAAUUAGUAACUAAUGGAAAAUCGUAACAUUUUUGCUAGCUGCUGAAACUACUAAUUGUUCCCAUUUCCAAAUCGCCUCCUAAGUGCAUUGCUAAUUCACUUUAUCGAGCAAUUUUUCAUCGUCUGCCCUGUGCUGUCCCUUGUCAUUUCAAUAUGUCAAUAAAAAUCAGAAUGUAACACUACCACCACUGCCCAUCCCCUGAUAUAUAUUCGUUUCCAUUGGAAACU